rnacentral:rRNA from 1 species
AUGAACCCUACUAUGCCUCCGCCCCCGCCCCGAAACCCUAACCCCUCCUCCUCCUCCAUGCCGCCUCCGCCGCCCCCCAAACCCUCGCCGCCUGCCCCAUCGGCGCAGCCGGAGGCGGAGGACGAGCCGAGGCCUGAUGCCUCGAUGGCCGAGGCGGACGGGAGUGCUAAACCGAGCCCCUCCUCCUCUAUGCCGCCUCCACCGCCACCAAGACCCUCGCCGCAGCCGGAGGCGGAGGCAGCGUCGGAGUCUGAAUCGUCGGCCGACGGGAGCGCUAACCCCAGCCCUAGCGACUCGUCGGCGGGGGAGGAAAGGAACCCCGGUGGCGACACCGAGAUGGCCGAGGAGGCGCCGCCAGAGCAGCGGCAGCAGCCGCGGCCGCGCGCACCAUACGCCAUCCCCGACUGGAGCGCCGCCCCGGAACACCCCUUCUUCCUCGAGGUGCUCAAGGAAGGCCUCAUCUUCGAGAACCUUGACGUGUCCAAGAAAGGCGCUUACAUGUUUGGCCGAAUUGAUCUGUGCGAUUUCGUGCUGGAGCAUCCCACCAUUUCCCGUUUUCAUGCAGUUCUGCAGUUUAGAAAUGAUGGGCAGGUUUUCCUUUACGAUCUUGGAAGCACACAUGGUUCUUCCAUCAACAAAACUCAGGUCAAGAAGAAGAUGUACACACCGAUUCAUGUUGGAGAUGUAAUUCGAUUUGGGCAAUCAUCACGUUUGUACAUUUUUCAAGGACCAUCUGAGCUAAUGCCUCCAGAAAAGGAUAUGCAGAAACUCCGUGAUGCUAAGAUUCGGCAAAAUAUGCUUGAUCGUGAAGCUUCCCUUUUACGAGCGAAAACUCAAGCAGUUUUAGCAGAUGGGAUCUCAUGGGGUAUGUCGGAGGAUGCACCUGAAGAAGACGGGGAGGAUGAGGCAGAUGAGAUCACGUGGCAAACCUACAAAGGUCAGCUUACGGACAGACAGGAAAAGACACGCAGCAAAUUAAUAAAGCGAAUGGAAAAGGUUGCCAACAUGAAGAAAGAGAUCGAUGCAAUACGAGUUAAGGACAUUUCUCAAGGUGGGUUAACCCAAGGUCAGCAAACACAGAUUGCACGAAAUGAGCAAAGGAUAUCUCAGAUCAUGGAGGAGCUAGAAAAUCUAGAAGAAACAUUAAAUGACAGUAUACAAGAAAGUCUUGGUGCACGUGCUGGAAAACCAAAACGUGGUAGCCAUAAAGCAAGUCUCGAGGAAGAAGAUGACGUUAUUAGUGAUGACGAUGAAUUUUUUGACCGGACAAAGAAGAAAUCAUCUAAUCCUCAAUCUAGUGGGCAACAAUCAGUUGAGACCGCUGAUAGUCUCCUUGAUAAAAAGGAUUUCAUCAACAAUGAUAUUGAAGGUAAAAAGAAGUUGCUUGAAGAAGAGAAGAUUAAGCUGGCUCAGAGAGAUAAUGCAGAUCUUGGGGAUGACCUUGAUGCUUACAUGAGUGGAUUGUCAUCUCAAUUAGUACACGAUAAUAUUGCCAAAAUUCAAAAGGAGCUUUCUGAUCUUCAAGCUGAACUGGACAAAGUAGUUUACUUACUGAAGGUAGCUGAUCCUAUGGGAGAAGCAGCUCGCAAGAGGGAUUUAAAGCCAAGAGAAGCAAACCCUCAAGCAUCUAAUGAUAAUCCUAGACCAGAAUCCAAAAAACAGGACAAAAUUGCCCAAGACAAAACCUCAACGGAGGAGAACUCGAAGGAUUCUUUUUCUACCAAAAUAGAAGUGGAUAAACCUGCUGAGGUAGAAACAGAUAUCCCCCAAAACCAAGAAAAUGCCAGCAAACCUGCAUUCACCAUACCGAAACCUCAGUGGCUGGGCGACAAGAGAAUCAUAGAACCUGAAGAAAAUUGUAUAAAAGAAGGAAACACGAAUGCUGAGGAGCCUGAUGAUUUUGUGGACUACAAAGAUCGGAAAACUAUUCUUUCUAAUUCAGCCAAUGAAAAGGAUAUUGAAGGGGCUGCUCCUGGGCUUAUCUUACGGAAGAGAAAGUCUGCUGAUCAGUCAGCUGGCGUUGAGGCAGAAUCGUCUUCGGUUGAAUCCGAAGCAUCAGCAGCUGAUGCUGUGGCCCUUCUGCUGAAGCACACACGUGGUUUACAACCUGCAGAAGACAUUGAGAAUGAGAAUGAACCACAGACUAGCAAGAGAAAAGGGAAAAAGUCGAAACAAAAACGUGUACUGGGUCCUGCAAGACCAGAUUUUCUUGAAGCUGGUCCAGAUCAUGAAACAUGGGUGCCACCUCAAGGUCAAACUGGUGAUGGGCGCACUUCAUUGAAUGAUCGUUUGGGUUAUUGA